rnacentral:rRNA from 1 species
AUUGAACGCUGGCGGAAUGCUUUACACAUGCAAGUCGAGCGACAGCGCGGCACUCGGGCUGUCGGGGUGCGGCGAACGGGUGAGUAAGGCACAGGAACAUGCCCAAGCGAGGGGGAUAACACUACGAAAGAAGUGCGAAGACAGCAAACGUCAAUAGUGGGAAAGCGAGGGAUCGAAAGACAAAGCGGGACUGGAGUUACCGAAGUCAGAUUAGCUAGUUGGUGGGGCAAAGGGCUACCAAGGCGACGUUCUGUAGCUGAGCUGAGAGGAUGAUCAGCCACACUGGAACUGAGACACGGCCCAGACUCCUACGGGAGGCAGCAGUAGGGAAUUUUAGACAAUGGGCGCAACCCUGAUCCAGCAACUCCGCGUGAGUGAAGAAGGCCUUCGGAUUGUAAAGCUAUUUCAUCAGGGACGAAACUUUGUGUUAGAACAUAGUCCGCUAAUGACGGUACCUAAAGAAGAAGCUGCGGCUAACUACGUG